GACAGAGGAGCCAAGCGUUGUCCGGACUGACUGGGCGUAAAGCGCACGCAGGCGGCGCUGCGCGUGGGGUGUGAAAGCUCUUGGCUUAACUGAGAGAGGCCAUCCCAUACGGCAGUGCUCGAGCGGUGCAGAGGUCCGCGGAAUUGCCGGUGUAGUGGUGAAAUGCGUAGAGAUGGGGGAGAACACUCGUGGCGAAGGCGGCCAGCUAGACCAGUUCUGACACUGAGGCGCGACAGCGUGGGGAGCAAACAGG
rnacentral:rRNA from 1 species